rnacentral:tRNA from 1 species
ACCUGUGGGUGCAAACAGUUAAUGCACUUGGCUGCUAACCAAAAGGUUGGUGUUUUGAGUUCACCCAGAGGCA